GCUCUGGUAGCUCAGUUGGAAGAGCGAUGCCAACUGAUUAUAUGGAUUUGACAAUUAUUUCAGGCACUGGUGCAUGUUCGAAUCAUGCCCAGAGCA